CCUGGCUCACGUUGAACGCUAGCUACAGGCUUAACACAUGCAAGUCGAGGGGCAGCAUGGUCUUAGCUUGCUAAGACUGAUGGCGACCGGCGCACGGGUGAGUAACACGUAUCCAACCUGCCGUCUACUCUUGGACAGCCUUCUGAAAGGAAGAUUAAUACAAGAUGGCAUCAUGAGUCCGCAUGUUCACAUGAUUAAAGGUAUUCCGGUAGACGAUGGGGAUGCGUUCCAUUAGAUAGUAGGCGGGGUAACGGCCCACCUAGUCUUCGAUGGAUAGGGGUUCUGAGAGGAAGGUCCCCCACAUUGGAACUGAGACACGGUCCAAACUCCUACGGGAGGCAGCAGUGAGGAAUAUUGGUCAAUGGGCGAGAGCCUGAACCAGCCAAGUAGCGUGAAGGAUGACUGCCCUAUGGGUUGUAAACUUCUUUUAUAAAGGAAUAAAGUCGGGUAUGGAUACCCGUUUGCAUGUACUUUAUGAAUAAGGAUCGGCUAACUCCGUGCCAGCAGCCGCGGUAAUACGGAGGAUCCGAGCGUUAUCCGGAUUUAUUGGGUUUAAAGGGAGCGUAGAUGGAUGUUUAAGUCAGUUGUGAAAGUUUGCGGCUCAACCGUAAAAUUGCAGUUGAUACUGGAUAUCUUGAGUGCAGUUGAGGCAGGCGGAAUUCGUGGUGUAGCGGUGAAAUGCUUAGAUAUCACGAAGAACUCCGAUUGCGAAGGCAGCCUGCUAAGCUGCAACUGACAUUGAGGCUCGAAAGUGUGGGUAUCAAACAGGAUUAGAUACCCUGGUAGUCCACACGGUAAACGAUGAAUACUCGCUGUUUGCGAUAUACUGCAAGCGGCCAAGCGAAAGCGUUAAGUAUUCCACCUGGGGAGUACGCCGGCAACGGUGAAACUCAAAGGAAUUGACGGGGGCCCGCACAAGCGGAGGAACAUGUGGUUUAAUUCGAUGAUACGCGAGGAACCUUACCCGGGCUUAAAUUGCAGAUGAAUUACGGUGAAAGCCGUAAGCCGCAAGGCAUCUGUGAAGGUGCUGCAUGGUUGUCGUCAGCUCGUGCCGUGAGGUGUCGGCUUAAGUGCCAUAACGAGCGCAACCCUUGUUGUCAGUUACUAACAGGUUCCGCUGAGGACUCUGACAAGACUGCCAUCGUAAGAUGUGAGGAAGGUGGGGAUGACGUCAAAUCAGCACGGCCCUUACGUCCGGGGCUACACACGUGUUACAAUGGGGGGUACAGAGGGCCGCUACCACGCGAGUGGAUGCCAAUCCCCAAAACCUCCCUCAGUUCGGACUGGAGUCUGCAACCCGACUCCACGAAGCUGGAUUCGCUAGUAAUCGCGCAUCAGCCACGGCGCGGUGAAUACGUUCCCGGGCCUUGUACACACCGCCC
rnacentral:rRNA from 1 species